UUCCUGGAGGACUAGUGGUUAGGCCUCGGCGCUCUCACCGCGGCCGCCCGGGUUCAAUUCCCGGCCAUGGAA
rnacentral:tRNA from 1 species